UAUGCCUUAAUAUAAGCUGUAUAUUAAUUUUUGAUAUUAAAAGAGGGGGUCAAAUUCCACCAGGCGUAA
rnacentral:tRNA from 1 species